AGGACGAACGCUGGCGGCGUGCUUAACACAUGCAAGUGGAGCGACGAACCAGGGCUUGCCCUGGGGCAGAGCCGCGAACGGGUGAGUAACACGUGGGUUACCUGCCUCGAUGACCGGGACAACCCGAGGAAACUCGGGCUAAUACCGGAUGUGCCCGCAAGGGGAAAGGAAGCUUCGGCCUCCGCAUCGAGAUGGGCCCGCGGCCCAUUAGCUUGUUGGUGAGGUAACGGCUCACCAAGGCUUCGAUGGGUAGCUGGUCUGAGAGGACGAUCAGCCACACUGGGACUGAGACACGGCCCAGACUCCUACGGGAGGCAGCAGUGGGGAAUCUUGCGCAAUGCGCGAAAGCGUGACGCAGCAACGCCGCGUGGGGGAAGAAGGCUUUCGGGUUGUAAACCCCUUUCAGUUGGGACGAAGCUUCGUCGGUGAAUAGCCGGCCGGAGUGACGGUACCUUCACAAGAAGCACCGGCUAACUACGUGCCAGCAGCCGCGGU
rnacentral:rRNA from 1 species